rnacentral:rRNA from 1 species
AGUUUGAUCUGGCUCAGAUUGAACGCUGGCGGGAUGCGCUACAUGCAAGUCGAACGGCAGCACGGACUUCGGUCUGGUGGCGAUGGCGAACAGGUGAGUAAUGUAUCGGAACGUGCUGAUAGCGAAAGGGGAUAACUACGCGGCGCCAGCUAAUACCACAUACGCCCUUCGGGGGAAAGCGGGGACCUUCGGGCCUGCUAUUAGAAGCGGCCGAUAUCGGAUUAGCUAGUUGGUGGGGUAACGACUCCCACCAAGGCGACGAUCAUCGCUGGUUUGAGAGGACGACCAGCCACACUGGGACUGAGACACGGCCCAGACUCCUACGGGAGGCAGCAGUGGGGAAUUUUGGACAAUGGGGGAAACCCUGAUCCAGCCAUCCCGCGUGUGCGAUGAAGGCCUUCGGGUUGUAAAGCACUUUUGGCAGGAAAGAAACGGCACGGGAUAUUACCCCGUGCAACUGACAGUACCUGCAGAAUAAGCACCGGCUAACCGUGCUGGCAGCCGCGGUAAUACGUAGGGUGCAAGCGUUAAUCGGAAUUACUGGGCGUAAAGCGUGCGCGGGCGGUUCGGAAAGAAAGAUGUGAAAUCCCAGAGCUUAACUUUGGAACUGCAUUUUUAACUACCGAGCUAGGUGUAUAAGAGGGAGGUGGGAAUUAAAGCCUUAGCAGUGAAAUGCGUAGAUAUCGCGGAGGAGACACCGAUGGCGAAGGCGGCCUCCUGGGAUAACACUGACGCUCAUGCGAAAGCGUGGGGAGCGAGCGAGUUCCAUUCACCUGGUAGUCCACGCCUAAACGAUGUCUUCGCUGUUGGGGCCUUCGGGCCUUGGUAGCGCAGCUAACGCGUGAAGUUGACCGCCUGGGAAGUACGGUGCGGAAUUAAAACUCAAAAGAUUAGGCGGGGACCCGCUGGCGGUGGAUGAUGUCGGUUAAUUAAAUUAACUGCGCGAAAAACCUUACCCUACCGCCGAGCAUGUCUGAGUCCAGAAGAAGUUGCAGAGUGCUCGCAAGAGAACCGGAACACAGGUGCUGCGCUGUGGAGUAGCUCGUGUCGUGAGAUGUUGGAUUAGUCCGCAACGAGCGCAGCCAUAUGCAUUAGUUGCACGAAAGGGCUUUCUAAUGGGAUUGUGGAAGUGUUAAUGGAGGAAGGUGAGGAUGACGUCAAGUCCUCUAUGGCCUGUGGGUAGACUUCACUGCGUCAUACAAUGGUCAAGGACAGAGGUCGUAACCGCAAAGGGAGCCAAUCCCAGAAGCCACGUCCUUCGAGUCCGGAUCGCGUGCAACUCGACUGCGUGAAGUCAGAAUCGCUAGUAAUGCUGGGAUUAAGCGUGUCGCGGUGGGCCCUGCGUUCCCGGGUCUUGUACCACCGCCCGUCACACCAUGGGAGUGGGUUUACCAGUAGUUGGCUGUGCUUAAUGAGGCGAUUACCACGGUAGGAUUCGCCGUUUGGGGUGGAAGUCGUAACAGAGUAACCUGUACUGGUG